rnacentral:rRNA from 1 species
AUUGAACGCUAGCGGGAUGCUUUACACAUGCAAGUCGAACGAGUGGCGGACGGGUGAGUAAUAUAUCGGAACGUGCCCAGUAGAGGGGGAUAACUACUCGAAAGAGUGGCUAAUACCGCAUACCAUCCGAUCGGCCGAUAUGGGAUUAGCUUGUUGGUGGGGUAAAGGCUCACCAAGGCAACGAUCCGUAGCUGGUUUGAGAGGAUGACCAGCCACACUGGGACUGAGACACGGUCCAGACUCCUACGGGAGGCAGCAGUGGGGAAUUUUGGACAAUGGGGGAAAGCCUGAUCCAGCCAUCCCGCGUGUAUGAGAAGGCCUUCGGGUUGUAAAGUACUUUUGGCAGAGAAGCGGUAUCUGCAGAAGAAGCACCGGCUAACUACGUGCCAGCAGCCGCGGUAAUUC